rnacentral:rRNA from 1 species
UACAGAGGGUGCGAGCGUUAAUCGGAAUUACUGGGCGUAAAGUGCACGUAGUCGGCUUUGCAAGUCGGUUGUGAAAUCCCCGGGCUCAACCUGGGAACUGCAAUGGAAACUGGCGGGCUUGAAUGCGGCAGAGGGGGGUGGAAUUCCGCGUGUAGCAGUGAAAUGCGUAGAGAUGCGGAGGAACACCGGUGGCGAAGGCGGCAUCCUGGACCGGUAUUGACACUGAGGCGCGAAAGCCAGGGGAGCAAACGGG